UACAGUGGUGUUGGACUGCACGCUGUCAGCUGUCCUGUGCUUGCCUACCGAUGUAAUCUUUACCCUGUCUGGUGUAUAGAGUAUCGGUCGGCCAGUGCUGGAGCCAUAGAGUUUGCCUCUGUCUGUGAGCUCUUGGGAGUAGUGUCUCCUGCUGUGUGUUUAGUGGAAGUAAUGAUUCAUGGCGUUGUCCCCCCUGAAACUCUAGCUGCUGUUUUGCCUCUAGAUAGUUCCGCCCUCAGGU